AGGGUGCUGUUACUGGGUAGUGGAGAUCAGGAAUGAAGACAGAAUUUGAAUUGUGCAGAUGAACCCAGAGGCUAUGGGUGGUUACCAGCUCUAAUUUAGGAAAUGUGCACUAUGACUAAAAAACAUUGCCCUUCUGAUCAUUUCUGAAUAAAUGUAUGGCUAAUGGACUUGAAGAAGAGUGGAGUGUACUAUUCCAUUGUACAUGCUUCGUAUUCUGGAAUGGAUGAGACAUACUUAUCUUAACAAACCUUAGUAAAUAUCUGGUUUUUUGUGAAAUACUAGUGCGGCAUUAAUUCAGGGGUGGGAAGAUGAGAAUUUGGGUUCCCUUGUGAGUCAACAACAGUUGGAGAGAACAGAACUGCUACCAGAAUAAAGAGAUAAAUGAAGAACGGUGUUGACCAUGAGCACAGUUCCAGAAUCUAUGUACAGCUUCUCAGUUCUUCUAGUCCAAUUGUAAAGGUCGAUGGAAUUCACAGGAAAUACAAGGAAGCCAGACUGAUGAGGACUCAGACAUUAGUAAAUAAAGGUUUUUUGGCUCCUGAAGUAGAGAACACCGACCUGUUGUAUUUCUGGGAAAGAUGAGAAGACACGGAAUUGGAAGUUGAAGAAGGAGGUGACAGAUCUCAGUUCCUGCCUGUGACCAAAAAUAGGAAAAGGACUGGAGUUGCUUCGCAUAUUUUCUUUCUUGUCAUGUAGAUGUGUCAUUUGUAUUAAUUAAUAUAUUUUCCUUGUCCCUUCUUACCAGUGUGAUUUUAUGCAAGUUGUCAGUGGUGAUAUUUAAAAUAUAGUCUCUUGGUUAAGAGAAUAGUCAAAUGAGUGUGGCUGAACUUAAGGAAUAAAUACAACUGAUUCAA